rnacentral:rRNA from 1 species
UACGGAGGAUCCGAGCGUUAUCCGGAUUUAUUGGGUUUAAAGGGAGCGUAGGUGGAUUGUUAAGUCAGUUGUGAAAGUUUGCGGCUCAACCGUAAAAUUGCGGUUGAAACUGGCAGUCUUGAGUACAGUAGAGGUGGGCGGAAUUCGUGGUGUAGCGGUGAAAUGCUUAGAUAUCACGAAGAACUCCGAUUGCGAAGGCAGCUCACUGGACUGCAACUGACACUGAGGCUCGAAAGUGUGGGUAUCAAACAGG